rnacentral:rRNA from 1 species
GGGCAUUGCCUCAGUAACGGCGAGUGAAGCGGCAAGAGCUCAAAUUUGAAAGCUGGCUCCUUCGGGGUCCGCAUUGUAAUUUGCAGAGGAUGCUUCGGGUGCAGCCCCCGUCUAAGUGCCCUGGAACGGGCCGUCAUAGAGGGUGAGAAUCCCGUAUGGGGCGGGGUGUCUGCGUCCGUGUGAAGCUCCUUCGACGAGUCGAGUUGUUUGGGAAUGCAGCUCUAAAUGGGUGGUAAAUUUCAUCUAAAGCUAAAUACUGGCCGGAGACCGAUAGCGCACAAGUAGAGUGAUCGAAAGAUGAAAAGCACUUUGAAAAGAGAGUUAAACAGCACGUGAAAUUGUUGAAAGGGAAGCGCUUGCAACCAGACUCGCUCGCGGGGUUCAGCCGGGCUUCGGCCCGGUGUACUUCCCCGCGGGCGGGCCAGCGUCGGUUUGGGCGGCCGGUCAAAGGCCUCCGGAAUGUAGCGCCCUUCGGGGCGCCUUAUAGCCGGGGGUGCAAUGCGGCCAGCCUGGACCGAGGAACGCGCUUCGGCACGGACGCUGGCAUAAUGGUUGUAAACGACCCGUCUUGAAACACGGACCAAGGAGUCUAACAUCUACGCGAGUGUUCGGGUGUCAAACCCGUACGCGCAGUGAAAGCGAACGGAGGUGGGAGCCCCCUCGCGGGGCGCACCAUCGACCGAUCCUGAUGUCUUCGGAUGGAUUUGAGUACGAGCGUAGCUGUGGGGACCCGAAAGAUGGUGAACUAUGCCUGAAUAGGGCGAAGCCAGAGGAAACUCUGGUGGAGGCUCGCAGCGGUUCUGACGUGCAAAUCGAUCGUCAAAUUUGGGUAUAGGGGCGAAAGACUAAUCGAACCAUCUGGUAGCUGGUUCCUGCCGAAGUUUCCCUCAGGAUAGCAGUAACGCGGAUCAGUUUUAUGAGGUAAAGCGAAUGAUUAGAGGCAUUGGGGUUGAAACAACCUUAACCUAUUCUCAAACUUUAAAUAUGUAAGAAGCGCUUGU